rnacentral:lncRNA from 1 species
AGAACCCUAACAUGUUAUCAUCAUGUGUAGCCGCUAUAGAGAUUAUGGGCAAGUGGAAGAUGAACAGGGACACACCAGUCUUCACCGGCAUGCAAGUCGUCGCCGGAAUUCUAACCGGAGUCUACCGAAACACACCGGAAACAGGACAUAAGGAAAGUCACCGCCGCCAACAACUUGAGCAGAAUUAAAGUAUUGGGAUUUCAACAGACCAAUGCUUCAGCGAAGAAAUCAGUCGCAAGCUUACCGGAUAAAUCAUCAGAUACUCCAUUUUCACAACGAAUCAUCUUUAAAGAUAUAAGUAAGAUCGAAGAUGAAAACAACCCUAACAAAUGGAAAGGAGAAGACAAUCCGAUGAGAAGGAUAAUAAGCAGACUGAAACUAAAAACUGAACAGGAAGGCAAAUUAGAGAAGAUACAAAACAAAAAAUUUCUGAGAAACCCAGAAUCCACCUAGCUAAAACAACAUCUAGAAAGAUGAUGAGUAACUAGAAGAUGAGCCGGCCAAG